rnacentral:rRNA from 1 species
GACGAACGCUGGCGGCGUGCCUAAUACAUGCAAGUAGAACGCUGAAGAGAGGAGCUUGCUCUUCUUGGAUGAGUUGCGAACGGGUGAGUAACGCGUAGGUAACCUGCCUUGUAGCGGGGGAUAACUAUUGGAAACGAUAGCUAAUACCGCAUAACAAUGGAUGACACAUGUCAUUUAUUUGAAAGGGGCAAUUGCUCCACUACAAGAUGGACCUGCGUUGUAUUAGCUAGUAGGUGAGGUAACGGCUCACCUAGGCGACGAUACAUAGCCGACCUGAGAGGGUGAUCGGCCACACUGGGACUGAGACACGGCCCAGACUCCUACGGGAGGCAGCAGUAGGGAAUCUUCGGCAAUGGGGGCAACCCUGACCGAGCAACGCCGCGUGAGUGAAGAAGGUUUUCGGAUCGUAAAGCUCUGUUGUAAGUCAAGAACGAGUGUGAGAGUGGAAAGUUCACACUGUGACGGUAGCUUACCAGAAAGGGACGGCUAACUACGUGCCAGCAGCCGCGGUAAUACGUAGGUCCCGAGCGUUGUCCGGAUUUAUUGGGCGUAAAGCGAGCGCAGGCGGUUUGAUAAGUCUGAAGUUAAAGGCUGUGGCUCAACCAUAGUUCGCUUUGGAAACUGUCAAACUUGAGUGCAGAAGGGGAGAGUGGAAUUCCAUGUGUAGCGGUGAAAUGCGUAGAUAUAUGGAGGAACACCGGUGGCGAAAGCGGCUCUCUGGUCUGUAACUGACGCUGAGGCUCGAAAGCGUGGGGAGCGAACAGGAUUAGAUGCCCUGGUAGUCCACGCCGUAAACGAUGAGUGCUAGGUGUUGGAUCCUUUCCGGGAUUCAGUGCCGCAGCUAACGCAUUAAGCACUCCGCCUGGGGAGUACGACCGCAAGGUUGAAACUCAAAGGAAUUGACGGGGGCCCGCACAAGCGGUGGAGCAUGUGGUUUAAUUCGAAGCAACGCGAAGAACCUUACCAGGUCUUGACAUCCCGAUGCUAUUUCUAGAGAUAGAAAGUUACUUCGGUACAUCGGUGACAGGUGGUGCAUGGUUGUCGUCAGCUCGUGUCGUGAGAUGUUGGGUUAAGUCCCGCAACGAGCGCAACCCCUAUUGUUAGUUGCCAUCAUUCAGUUGGGCACUCUAGCGAGACUGCCGGUAAUAAACCGGAGGAAGGUGGGGAUGACGUCAAAUCAUCAUGCCCCUUAUGACCUGGGCUACACACGUGCUACAAUGGUUGGUACAACGAGUUGCGAGUCGGUGACGGCAAGCUAAUCUCUUAAAGCCAAUCUCAGUUCGGAUUGUAGGCUGCAACUCGCCUACAUGAAGUCGGAAUCGCUAGUAAUCGCGGAUCAGCACGCCGCGGUGAAUACGUUCCCGGGCCU